rnacentral:rRNA from 1 species
AACGAACGCUGGCGGCAUGCCUAACACAUGCAAGUCGAACGAGACCGUCGGGUCUAGUGGCGCACGGGUGCGUAACGCGUGGGAACCUGCCCUUAGGUUCGGAAUACCUCCCCGAAAGGGGUGCUAAUACCGGAUAAUGUCUUCGGACCAAAGAUUUAUCGCCUUUGGAUGGGCCCGCGUUGGAUUAGCUAGUUGGUAGGGUAAAAGCCUACCAAGGCGACGAUCCAUAGCUGGUCUGAGAGGAUGAUCAGCCACACUGGGACUGCGACACGGCCCAGACUCCUACGGGAGGCAGCAGUGGGGAAUAUUGGACAAUGGGCGAAAGCCUGAUCCAGCAAUGCCGCGUGAGUGAUGAAGGCCUUAGGGUUGUAAAGCUCUUUUACCCGGGAUGAUAAUGACAGUACCGGGAGAAUAAGCUCCGGCUAACUCCGUG